rnacentral:rRNA from 1 species
UGGGGAAUUUUGGACAAUGGGCGCAAGCCUGAUCCAGCCAUGCCGCGUGCGGGAAGAAGGCCUUCGGGUUGUAAACCGCUUUCAGGCGGAAAGAAAUCGUCAGGGUUAAUAACCCUGAUGGAUGACGGUACCGUCAGAAGAAGCACCGGCUAACUACGUGCCAGCAGCCGCGGUAAUACGUAGGGUGCGAGCGUUAAUCGGAAUUACUGGGCGUAAAGCGUGCGCAGGCGGCUUUUUAAGCCAGACGUGAAAUCCCCGGGCUUAACCUGGGAACUGCGUUUGGAACUGGAAAGCUAGAGUGUGUCAGAGGGGGGUGGAAUUCCACGUGUAGCAGUGAAAUGCGUAGAGAUGUGGAGGAACACCGAUGGCGAAGGCAGCCCCCUGGGAUAACACUGACGCUCAUGCACGAAAGCGUGGGGAGCAAACAGG